rnacentral:rRNA from 1 species
UACGGGAGGCAGCAGUAAGGAAUAUUGCUCAAUGGGGGAAACCCUGAAGCAGCAACGCCGCGUGAAGGAUGAAGGGCUUUUGCUUGUAAACUUCUGUAGUGAGGGAAAAAACUUCCACUCUGUGGAAUAUGAUGGUACCUCAAAAGUAAGCCCCGGCUAACUACGUGCCAGCAGCCGCGGUAAUACGUAGGGGGCAAACGUUGUCCGGAUUUACUGGGUGUAAAGGGUGCUCAGGCGGUUUUGUAAGUCAGAAGUGAAAUCCUAGAGCUUAACUCUGGAACUGCUUUUGAUACUGCAAGGCUUGAAUGUGGAAGAGGAGGAUGGAAUUUCUGGUGUAGCAGUGAAAUGCGUAGAUAUCAGAAAGAACACCAGUGGCGAAGGCGGUCCUCUGGUCCACUAUUGACGCUAAAGCACGAAAGCGUGGGGAGCAAACAGGAUUAGAUACCCUGGUAGUCCACGCCUUAAACGAUGAAUACUAGACGUUGGGGUUAAACUCAGUGUCGCAGCUAACGCAUUAAGUAUCCACCU